rnacentral:tRNA from 1 species
CUAUUAAAGGGUACGUUUUCAAAUUUGCAAUUUGACGUGUUACUCACUACGGGNCU